UUUUUUAGCGACACGAAUAGUACACAAAUAGAACACAGCAGAUAAUGUAGGGACAAAUAGGACACAAAUAGAAUGAUAGACGAUUGGAGCCCAUAUUACACUAUACAAGUUCAUACAAAUAGAACACCUUGAGCCAUAUAUCAUGUAAUCUUCCCAUACACAGAACUCAAAACGUAGAUAUAAGAAAACCAGGCAAAAGAAUAGACCUUCCAAACAUCCACAAUAGCCAAGCCCACUGCCACCAUUGCCACUGCAGCCAAGCCUUGAAUCAACAGUCCAACAGAAAAGCAUCGAUUUUUUUUCCAGAAAUCAAUUAAAAAUGCCCAAUAAAUACAUAAAGAGAGAAACGAGUUACCUUUUAGGGAGAAAUUGCGGGAAAAAAAAUAGGGAAAUGAAGACAAGAAGCCACGGCUACGCAUAGUUGAAUCUCUAUUUGUACAAAUCGGGGGAUGAUAAAUUGAGGAAAUGUAUUGAGAUUUGCAAAGAAAGAAGGAUUGAGGAAGAAAGACGGAGAGGAGGCAGUGUCGAUUAGGUUAGCAAUUGAACAGAGGAAUUGUGAGUGUGGGAGGGGAGA
rnacentral:lncRNA from 1 species